GACGAACGCUGGCGGCGUGCUUAACACAUGCCAGUCGAACGGAAAGGCCCUGCUUUUGUGGGGUGCUCGAGUGGCGAACGGGUGAGUAACACGUGAGUAACCUGCCCUUGACUUUGGGAUAACUUCAGGAAACUGGGGCUAAUACCGGAUAGGAGCUCCUGCUGCAUGGUGGGGGUUGGAAAGUUUCGGCGGUUGGGAUGGACUCGCGGCUUAUCAGCUUGUUGGUGGGGUAGUGGCUUACCAAGGCUUUGACGGGUAGCCGGCCUGAGAGGGUGACCGGCCACAUUGGGACUGAGAUACGGCCCAGACUCCUACGGGAGGCAGCAGUGGGGAAUAUUGCACAAUGGGCGGAAGCCUGAUGCAGCAACGCCGCGUGCGGGAUGACGGCCUUCGGGUUGUAAACCGCUUUCGCCUGUGACGAAGCGUGAGUGACGGUAAUGGGUAAAGAAGCACCGGCUAACUACGUG
rnacentral:rRNA from 1 species